GUUCCUCUUUCUUGCUUAGCUAGAGCUCGCGGGAAGCUGCUCCUUCGAGCGCAGUGCAGAAGAGAGCAGAAAUAUCUCCGUCCCGAUGGGAGCGGCCACCGUGCUCUUCCAGCCGCCCAGCCCGGCUCCGGCGGUCAUCGUGCCACCGCCCGGAGGGAGACUCUUUACCUCUUCCCAUUCCACCAGUCAGACGUGUCUUCUACGGCUUCGGCUUCGCCAGAAGAAGUUCGUUGUCCCGGCGGCAAAGAAGCAGCCACUCACUGAGAUAAAGACAAAAGAGCCAGAGAGUGGAGAUUCGUCAGAGCUGUCGAGAGGCGAGAACAGUGGAUGUUCUGAUAUAGGAUGGCUGCCUUCUUUUCCUCACGUGUCGGUAGCUUCCAUGUCCAAUUUCCUCUUCGGUUAUCACAUCGGAGUUAUGAACGGUCCUAUAGUGUCCGUUGCACGAGAACUGGGGUUUGAAGGAAAUGCUCUUCUUGAAGGGCUCGUGGUGAGCAUAUUUAUAGCUGGGGCUUUUGUUGGAAGCCUAAGCUGUGGGUCCCUUGUGGACAAACUUGGUUGUCGCCGUACAUUUCAGAUUGAUACCAUCCCCUUGAUUCUUGGUGCAAUCAUAAGUGCACAAGCCCACUCGUUGGAUGAAAUCCUUCUGGGAAGAUUUCUUGUAGGCCUUGGUAUUGGCGUGAACACAGUUCUCGUGCCAAUUUAUAUCUCGGAGGUUGCUCCAACAAAAUAUAGGGGUUCACUCGGAACAUUGUGCCAAAUUGGCACUUGCCUGGGAAUUAUUGCAUCUCUAUUUCUCGGACUUCCAUCGCAAGAUGAUCCACAUUGGUGGAGAACAAUGCUCUAUAUUGCCAGUGUUCCUGGUAUUAUUCUUGCAUUUGGCAUGCAGUACGCUGUAGAAAGCCCUCGAUGGCUAUGCAAAGUGGGGAGACUAGAUGAUGCUAAGGCAGUUAUACGUAAUUUAUGGGGAGCAUCUGAAGUUGACAGAGCAAUUGGAGAAUUUCAGUCUGUCAUCAAGAAUGAUGGAACUGAUUUGGAAAGCAGAUGGUUGGAACUCUUGGAGGAACCACACUGUAGAGUUGCAUGUAUUGGAGGUGCCCUUUUUGUGCUACAACAGUUUGCCGGUAUAAAUGGAGUCCUAUAUUUCUCAUCCCUAACUUUCCAGGAUGUUGGAAUUACAAGUGGUGCUUUGGCGAGCUUGUUGAUUGGAUUGACCAACCUCGGAGGUGCUAUCUGUGCAUUAUACUUGAUGGAUAAGCAGGGGAGGAAAACGCUAUUAAUUGGAAGCUACUUGGGGAUGGCUGUUUCUAUGUUUCUCGCAGUAUAUGCAAUUGAUUUUCCACCAGAUGAAGAGCUUGGCCAUACUUUAUCAAUUUUAGGAACAGUCAUCAUCCACCAAACUUGUUGGACCAUAACAGGUACAUAUUUACUUUUGCCAUUGGAGCUGGGCCUGUGACUGGUCUCAUCAUCCCGGAACUCAGCGGCAGUAGGACACGUGGGAAGAUUAUGGGAUUCAGCUUCUGUGUCCAUUGGGUAUGCAACUUCUUGGUGGGUCUAUUCUUCCUGGAACUGGUGGAGAAAUUUGGAGUGGACUCGGUGUAUGCCGGCUUUGGCGGAGUGUCCGCGUUGUCAGCAAUAUUUGCUUACUCCUUUCUAAUUGAAACAAAAGGCCGGUCUCUUGAAGAGAUAGAGAUGUCUCUUAAUCCCAAUUUUAAAGGUAGAGAUAGAGAUAUAUAGACCAGUGGUACUCCGAUUUCAGACACAAAUGGGCCUUACCAAAGAUGAGGGAAGGUCUUGCCAAUAAAAAAUUUACAGAAGAUGAGGAAAGCUCUCGGUGGGCGGUAAGCAGAAAGAGUGUAUUCUGUUCUGUGGUAGGUACGAGGCUGGUUUAUUUUGAGAGCAGCAAAUCGAGAUGAACAAUAGCAGCACCAUACACAAAUUAUUUGUCUGAGCUUGUGCUGAUCCGAGCUUGGGAUUUUUAUGUGGGUGGCUUAUCGUUAGAUGUUGCUCCUACUUACGGAGUGGCGAGCUAUGACAUCGGAGUGCCUCCGAAAAGCAGUCAAUUGGACGGUGGUUAUUCCAAAUACCUUCUUGUUAGCAAUGAGGGGUUGUCAACAUGGUUGUCUCUGGAGUGCUCUGCUUUAUUUUACUUCAUCUUAAAGUUUGGCAUAUUACUUAACAUACAUGCAUGCUUUUCAACUGCUAUAACAUAAUAGUCUGUUUUUAGCUGUCCACGAGUAUCAGAUUUAUUUCCUUGAUGUCUA